rnacentral:rRNA from 1 species
CGAGCCACCCAAACGUUAUUCGGAAUCACUGGGCUUAAAGCGUGCGUAGGCGGCCUGCAAAGUUGGGUGUGAAAUCCCUCGGCUCAACCGAGGAAUUGCGCCCAAAACUAGUGGGCUAGAGGGAGAUAGAGGUAAGCGGAACUGAUGGUGGAGCGGUGAAAUGUGUUGAUAUCAUCAGGAACACCGGUGGCGAAAGCGGCUUACUGGGUCUUUUCUGACGCUGAGGCACGAAAGCUAGGGUAGCGAACGGGAUUAGAUACCCCGGUAGUCCUAGCCGUAAACGAUGAGCACUAGGUCGAGGAACUUCCACAGUUUCCCGGCCGUAGCGAAAGUGUUAAGUGCUCCGCCUGGGGAGUAUGGUCGCAAGGCUG